rnacentral:rRNA from 1 species
GCUAAUACAUGCGCACAUACCUCUUCCCUCGUGGAAGGGUAGUGUUUAUUAGAUACAGAACCAACCCACCUUCGGGUGGUCCUUAGGUGAUUCAUAGUAACCGAACGGAUCGCAUUAUGACCUUCGGGUCGGCGAUGGAUCAUUCAAGUUUCUGACCUAUCAGCUUUCGACGGUACUGUAUUGGACUACCGUGGCAGUGACGGGUAACGGGGAAUUAGGGUUCGAUUCCGGAGAGGGAGCCUGAGAAACGGCUACCACAUCUAAGGAAGGCAGCAGGCGCGCAAAUUACCCAAUCCUGACUCAGGGAGGUAGUGACAAGAAAUAACAACACUGGAAAUUCUUUUUCUAGUGAUUGGAAUGAUGGGAAUCCAAACCCCUUUCAGAGUAACAAUUGGAGGGCAAGUCUGGUGCCAGCAGCCGCGGUAAUUCCAGCUCCAAUAGCGUAUAUUAAAGUUGUUGCAGUUAAAAAGCUCGUAGUUGGAUAUCUGCUGGAAGCAGCCAGUCCGCCCUUUGUGGGUGUGCACUUGGUGAAUUCUGGCAUCCUCCUGAUUGGUGUCAUCAUCACUUCAUUGUGUUGGUGGCAGCUGUCAGGACCGUUACUUUGAGAAAAUUAGAGUGUUUCAAGCAGGCUUGUUGCCUUGAAUACUGCAGCAUGGAAUAACAAGAUAGGAUUUCGGUUCUAUUUUGUUGGUUUCUAGGACUGAAGUAAUGAUUAAUAGGGACAGUUGGGGGCAUUCGUAUUUAACUGUCAGAGGUGAAAUUCUUAGAUUUGUUAAAGACGAA